rnacentral:rRNA from 1 species
UACGUAGGUGGCAAGCGUUUGUCCGGAAUUACUGGGCGUAAAGGGCGUGUAGGCGGCCUUUUAAGUCAGGCGUGAAAUCCAUGGGCUUAACCCAUGAAUUGCGUUUGAAACUGAAGGGCUUGAGGAUCGGAGAGGGCAGUGGAAUUCCCAGUGUAGCGGUGAAAUGCGUAGAUAUUGGGAGGAACACCAGUGGCGAAGGCGACUGCCUGGACGACACCUGACGCUGAGGCGCGAAAGCUAGGGGAGCAAACGGG